rnacentral:rRNA from 1 species
UACGACUCUCGGCAACGGAUAUCUCGGCUCUCGCAUCGAUGAAGAACGUAGCGAAAUGCGAUACUUGGUGUGAAUUGCAGAAUCCCGUGAACCAUCGAGUCUUUGAACGCAAGUUGCGCCCGAAGCCUUCUGGCCGAGGGCACGUCUGCCUGGGUGUCACGC